rnacentral:rRNA from 1 species
CGAUUCCGGCUACGGAUGGUCAUGCGUCGCAUUAGCUAGUUGGCGGGGUAACGGCCCACCAAGGCGACGAUGCGUAGGGGUUCUGAGAGGAAGGUCCCCCACACUGGUACUGAGACACGGACCAGACUCCUACGGGAGGCAGCAGUGAGGAAUAUUGGUCAAUGGCCGCAGGGCUGAACCAGCCAAGUCGCGUGAGGGAUGACGGUCCCAUGGAUUGUAAACCUCUUUUGUCAGGGAGCAAAGGACGCCACGUGUGGCGUUUUGCGAGUACCUGAAGAAAAAGCAUCGGCUAACUCCGUGCCAGCAGCCGCGGUAAUACGGAGGAUGCGAGCGUUAUCCGGAUUUAUUGGGUUUAAAGGGUGCGCAGGCGGAAUGUCAAGUCAGCGGUAAAAUUUCGGGGCUCAACCCCGUCGUGCCGUUGAAACUGGCGUUCUUGAGUGAGCGAGAAGUAUGCGGAAUGCGUGGUGUAGCGGUGAAAUGCAUAGAUAUCACGCAGAACUCCGAUUGCGAAGGCAGCAUACCGGCGCUCAACUGACGCUCAUGCACGAAAGCGUGGGUAUCGAACAGGAUUAGAUACCCUGGUAGUCCACGCAGUAAACGAUGAAUACUAACUGUCCGGGCCGAUUGAGGUCUGG